rnacentral:rRNA from 1 species
UGGGGAAUAUUGCACAAUGGGCGCAAGCCUGAUGCAGCCAUGCCGCGUGUGUGAAGAAGGCCUUCGGGUUGUAAAGCACUUUCAGCGGGGAGGAAGGGAGUAAAGUUAAUACCUUUGCUCAUUGACGUUACCCGCAGAAGAAGCACCGGCUAACUCCGUGCCAGCAGCCGCGGUAAUACGGAGGGUGCAAGCGUUAAUCGGAAUUACUGGGCGUAAAGCGCACGCAGGCGGUUUGUUAAGUCAGAUGUGAAAUCCCCGGGCUCAACCUGGGAACUGCAUCUGAUACUGGCAAGCUGGAGUCUCGUAGAGGGGGGUAGAAUUCCCGGUGUAGCGGUGAAAUGCGUAGAGAUCUGGAGGAAUACCGGUGGCGAAGGCGGCCCCCUGGACGAAGACUGACGCUCAGGUGCGAAAGCGUGGGGAGCAAACAGG